GAGGGUGAUGCCUGCCCAAUGGUUGUAUCUAAWAGCGGUUGAUAAAAGUCGACCUCGUAAGGACAAUUGAAUGGCCGCGGUAACACUGACCGUGAUAAUGUAGCGUAAUCAAUAGCCAAUUAAUUGUUGGCCAGUAUGAAUGGCGCCACGAAGGCCCCACUGUCUUAAGGAAAUUCCCAGUGAAAUUGAAUUCGUAGUGAAGAUGCUACGUCCAAUUUGUUAGACGAAAAGACCCCGUUGAGCUUUACUGGAGCACUUAUAUGGCCCCGGCCUUCCCAUGCCUGGGAACCGGCCGAAUUUAAAUGGGCGGCUUAGAUUAUGUGGCAGCCCCCCGCUGGGGCAAAUGAAACACCACUCCCCCAUGUCAAAGGGGCUAACCCCCCCCUUGGGGGGGACAGUGUAAGUAGGACAGUUUGGUUGGGGCGACCGCCUUUUAAAAAGUAACGAAKGUGCGCUUAAGGUGUGCAAUUAAUGACUGAAGCCUGACUGCGAGGGGGGUACCCCGAG
rnacentral:rRNA from 1 species